rnacentral:rRNA from 1 species
UCCGACGGUGAAGGGGUGAAUGCUGGGGGCGCAAACCGGAUUAGAUACCCGGGUAGUCCCAGCAGUAAACGAUCCAGCUAUGUUUGCUGGAACAUGGUCAGCAGUGCCAAGGAAGCCGUGAAGCUGGCCACCUGGGAAGUACGGUCGCAAGGCUGAAACUUAAAGGAAUUGGCGGGGGAGUGCGCACAACCGGUGGAGCCUGCGGUUUAAUUGGAUACAACGCCGGGAAUCUUACCGGAGGGGACAGCAGUAUGAAGGCCAGGCUAAAGACCUUGCCAGAUCAGCUGAGAGGAGGUGCAUGGCCGUCGCCAGUUCGUACCGUGAGGCAUCCUGUUUAGUCAGGCAACGAUCGAGACCCGCAGUCUUAUUUGCCAGCAUGCCCUUUGGGGUGUAUGGGUACAAUAAGACGACCGCCAGCGCUAAGCUGGAGGAAGGAGCGGGCUACGGUAGGUCAGCAUGCCCCGAAUCCUCCGGGAUACACGCGGGCUACAAUGGUCA